rnacentral:rRNA from 1 species
UACGUAGGGAGCAAGCGUUGUCCGGAUUUAUUGGGCGUAAAGAGCGUGUAGGCGGCUUUACAGGUCCGUUGUGAAAACUCGAGGCUCAACCUCGAGACGCCGGUGGAAACCGUAAAGCUAGAGUCCGGAAGAGGAGAGUGGAAUUCCUGGUGUAGCGGUGAAAUGCGCAGAUAUCAGGAAGAACACCCGUGGCGAAGGCGGCUCUCUGGGACGGUACUGACGCUGAGACGCGAAAGCGUGGGGAGCGAACAGG